CUUAAUUCUUGGCCUUUUGGCUAAGAUCAAGUGUAUUAUCUGUUCUUAUUAAUUUAAUAUCUGCUACGUCCUCUCUCAGAGUUGUUUUCAACCUCU
rnacentral:snRNA from 1 species